UACGGAGGGUGCAAGCGUUAUCCGGAUUCACUGGGUUUAAAGGGUGCGUAGGCGGGUUGGUAAGUCAGUGGUGAAAGCCCCAAGCUCAACUUGGGAACUGCCAUUGAUACUGCCAGUCUUGAGUGUGGUUGAAGUGGGCGGAAUAUGACAUGUAGCGGUGAAAUGCUUAGAUAUGUCAUAGAACACCGAUUGCGAAGGCAGCUCACGAAACCAUUACUGACGCUGAGGCACGAAAGCGUGGGGAGCGAACAGG
rnacentral:rRNA from 1 species